CAAAGCAUGCAGNUCGAACGGACUUACCAUUAGUUUACUAUUGGAGCGGUUAGUGGCGGACUGGUGAGUAACACGUAAGCAACCUGCCUAUCAGAGGGGAACAACAGUUAGAAAUGACUGCUAAUACCGCAUAUGCCUUAGUAACACAUGUUACAAAAGGGAAAGAAGCAAUUCGCUGAUAGAUGGGCUUGCGUCUGAUUAGAUAGUUGGUGGGGUAACGGCCUACCAAGUCGACGAUCAGUAGCCGGACUGAGAGGUUGAACGGCCACAUUGGGACUGAGAUACGGCCCAGACUCCUACGGGAGGCAGCAGUCGGGAAUAUUGCGCAAUGGAGGAAACUCUGACGCAGUGACGCCGCGUGCAGGAAGAAGGUUUUCGGAUUGUAAACUGCUCUAGACAGGGAAGAAACAAGACAGUACCUGUAGAAUAAGCUCCGGCUAACUAUGUGCCAGCAGCCGCGGUAAUACGUAGGGAGCAAGCGUUAUCCGGAUUUAUUGGGUGUAAAGGGUGCGUAGACGGGAAGUCAAGUUAGUUGUGAAAUCCCUCGGCUUAACUGAGGAACUGCAACUAAAACUAACUUUCUUGAGUGCUGGAGAGGAAAGUGGAAUUCCUAGUGUAGCGGUGAAAUGCGUAGAUAUUAGGAGGAACACCAGUGGCGAAGGCGACUUUCUGGACAGUAACUGACGUUGAGGCACGAAAGUGUGGGGAGCAAACAGGAUUAGAUACCCUGGUAGUCCACACCGUAAACGA
rnacentral:rRNA from 1 species